GUGGGGAAUCUUGCGCAAUGGGCGAAAGCCUGACGCAGCCAUGCCGCGUGAAUGAUGAAGGUCUUAGGAUUGUAAAAUUCUUUCACCGGGGACGAUAAUGACGGUACCCGGAGAAGAAGCUCCGGCUAACUUCGUGCCAGCAGCCGCGGUAAUACGAAGGGGGCUAGCGUUGCUCGGAAUUACUGGGCGUAAAGGGCGCGUAGGCGGACAGCUUAGUCAGAGGUGAAAGCCCAGGGCUCAACCUUGGAAUUGCCUUUGAUACUGGCUGUCUUGAGUUUGGGAGAGGUGAGUGGAACUCCGAGUGUAGAGGUGACAUUCGUAGAUAUUCGGAAGAACACCAGUGGCGAAGGCGACUCACUGGCCCAAUACUGACGCUGAGGCGCGAAAGCGUGGGGAGCAAACAGGAUUAGAUACCCUAGUAGUCC
rnacentral:rRNA from 1 species